UCACUAAUCCAAUCCAAUUUUGCUAAUUGUGAUUAAGAGAUUGAUUAGGAUGUGGUAUAAAGUGUUAAGCAUAACAGAAAAUCAUAAUCACUUCACAUUCUUCAAGAUCAUAACAGAAUUUCCCUCCAAUUUUCACCAAAUUCUCUCAAACUUUUUCCAACAUUUUUCAUCAAUUCUCAUCAAAAUCUUCAUCAAUCUUGCUCGUGCUUGUUGGAUUCACCUUCUAUAAUCAUCAUUGAGGAACUGUUUUGCAAAAUCAAGGCCAGAACAUAGAAGAAUUUGGACUGUCAUAACCUUGCUCAUCC
rnacentral:lncRNA from 1 species